AACAUCUUUAUAUGAUGUGGUUGUGUCAUUAUAUUAUGUGAUUGUAAUAUAAUAUCAUGUGGUUCGGUUAACUUCAUUAUAUGAUGUCGAAACGUCAUUAUAUGAUGUGCUUUCAUCGUCGUUAUGGUCAAUGAACAUGAUUACGAUUAGAAUGAUUACUGUCUACGUCAUAACUGAUUCCGAUCUGCUUCAGCAGAAUUAAUAUAAACCCGGAUCAAAUAUGUAGCUAUCGUUUGGAAAAUGGUUG
rnacentral:lncRNA from 1 species